CUGGAGCUCAAGAUCACCCCUCCAUACAUCAUACAUGCAUCACAGAAGGGGUGUAAACGUCAUACCUACAUCACAGAAAAGGUGGUCUACAACAGAAAUUUGAAUGUUGUUGUUUUUCCUGUCUGCCAGGUUAUCUGAUAAUGCCUUAUCUGAUUGCCUUUCCUGGUAGUCUGGCCAUUCCUUUGAAAUGGUGAUUACCCAAUUCCUGAGACAAUUCCCUCAUGCCCUCCCUCCUUUAAGAGAAAACAUUUGAUCAGUUUGGGAGUCAAAAUGGUUUCAGGUCGGUGUUCCUGUGCUGCUCCAGAGAUGUGGUCCCCACAUCCAUCUACGUGCUUGGCUGGUACACCUAUGAACAUUUAUUAUAUAUAUAAGACCUUAUUUUUUUUAUUACAGUUAGAAGAGGAAUAAUCAGGGGAGGAAGGGGGGAAGGACUCACCUGACGUCUGGAGGAGAUAACUGACCGCUUGAAGGUGGUUGCAAGGCUCCCAGAUGCGGUCGGAGAGCCAACCAAUGUUGCCUUCUUGCCUCCAGUAGAAACACGCUUUGUGGUGGCACGCUUCCUCCCCGAAGAGAGCACCCUCUUCUUAAUCUUUUUAGUGACCUGCACGGCUCGACUAGGAGCGCCCCUUACGCGUGUGAGGUGGAGAAGUUACCCCUUGUUGUUCGGUUCUGCUAGCAGGCAGCAUGAUAGUGCUAAUAAUGUUGUUACUGUUACUAGUACAAUAUUUUGUUGUUGUUUAGUCGUUUAGUUGUGCCCGACUCUUCAUGACCCCAUGGACCAGAGCACGCCAGGCACUCCUGUCUUACACUGCCUCCCGCAGUUUGGUCAAACUCAUGCUGGUAGCUUCAAGAACACUGUCCAACCAUCUCAUCCUCUGUCGUCCCCUUCUCCUUGUGCCCUCCAUCUUUCCCAACAUCAGGGUCUUUUCCAGGGAGUCUUCUCUUCUCAUGAAGUGGCCAAAGUAUUGGAGCCUCAGCUUCAGGAUCUGUCCUUCCAGUGAGCACUCAGGGCUGAUUUCCUUAAGAAUGGAUCUGUCCUUCCAGUGAGCACUCAGGGCUGAUUUCCUUAAGAAUGGAUAGGUUUGGUCUUCUUGCAGUCCAUGGGACUCUCAAGAGUCUCCUCCAGCACCAUAAUUCAAAAGCAUCAAUUCUUCGGCGAUCAGCCUUCUUUAUGGUCCAGCUCUCACUUCCAUACAUCACUACUAGUACAAUAUUAAUAUUAUCUUAAUAAGGAAAAGGACUGAAAAAAUUAGGAAGUGAUAUAGCAAAGAAUUAGACGGAAGAGCCACAGAGCCGAAGAAUAUAAGCCUGCACUUAGGGAAAGCUGUGAAUAUAAAACAGAAACCGUUACCAUCUGAGUGUGUGCACAUUCUUAGAAGCCAACGGAAACCUCCCAGGUGGGAGGGGAAUUCUUUAAAGGGGCACACCAUACCCAGGCCGACAAGCAUAGUCAAUGGCAGCAGCUAAAGAUUCCAUGCUGGCGCAGCACAGACGAGAUGACUGUGAAACAAUUCAGAUAUAAAUUGUGCAGGUAGAACUGUAGAGUUGGAAGGGACCCCAAGGAUCAUCUAGUCCAACCCCCUGCAAUGCAGAAAUAUUCCGCUACCCCACCAUAAGUGUCAGGGAACUGCCAUCGGAGCUGGAAGCGGAGGGAAGGCUCCAGAGGGAUGGCAGAGAGGGUCCCAGUAGGGAGAGAGGCAGCCCGUCCGCUGGGGAAGGAAAUCAGCGUAACACCAGUAGAGAAGGGGGGCAGAUGGGGGAAUCGGAGAGGAGGCUCCAAGACUCCUCGCCGGAGACCAGCGGAGAGAGUACGGGUACUCCGCUGCCCACACCCUCCCUGCGCAGAAGACUUCCGCGCAGCGAGAGUAGGAGGAGACUUGGCGUCAAAGAACUUUUGUGCUGGAAGAAGUUCAAGAAACGCCCACUGACGGAUUCUGCCAGCGACUGAGACAGUCACGAUGCUGGAGGCUGUUCAGUCAGAAAGGGUUUAACCAGGUAACCUCGCCAGGAGUGGCGGCAACUUACGCACGAGCAACCCCUAAAUCCAUUACAAUAAGGAUCAAACAUGCAACCGUGGCCCCAUCAGCAUCAUGUUUCAGCCAGCUGAGCUGACCAGGCACUGAAGAAGAGAAUACAUAAAUGCAGACUCCCACAUAAAGAGCACCAUAGAUCACAUGAGAACUAACCAUGCAUUGUAACCCCCCAUGUGUGUGCAUGCCUAUGGCAUCAUGAGUAAUUAAUAACUAAUUAACAGUAUCCUUCCCUCGUGUUACUGAAAACAGAGUUAGAAGGGGCUCUGGGUCAUCUAGCCCAGCCCAGCCCAGCCCCCUAUAUACCGAUACCAAAAUAGAUUAGACCAGAGGCCUCUGGCCUCCUUUAAAUCUGAGGAGUGGACCAGAGGGAAGCCUGCUUCGGCACGGUCCGCUCCUCCUAGCUGCAUCCACUGCAGAUUCGCCGAUUCAAAUGGCUGGGUUGUGGCGGGAACCCAGUGGCCUCCAUGGUGACCCCAGGAGGAGAGCAAUGGCCACAGGAGCAGCAUGGUUCUGGGAAGAUGGCGGUGCAGUGCGCAGGGCUGCAAACGUCACCCACUGCUGGGACAUGAUGAGCGGCCAUUAAUGGUUCCUCGUCCUCCUGAGAAAAAGUGACAAGUGGGUUGCCUCAGGGUUCUGUCCUGGGCCCAUUGUUGUUUAACAUCUUUAUAAAUUACUUGGAUGAAGGAAUUGAGGGGUUGCUCAUCAAAUCUGCUGAUGACACCAAACUGGGAGGGGUAGCUAAUGCUGCAGAAAACAGAUUCAGAAUUCAAAAUGACAUUAACAGAUUGGAGAACUGGAUGAAAGCCAACAAAAUGAAUUGCAAUAGGGACAAAUGUAAGGUUCUGCACUUAGGCAGGAAGAACCAGGUUCCCUAAUAUAGGAUGGGGAACACCUGGCUUCCUAGCAGUACCUGUGAAAAGGAUCUAAGGGUCUUGAUGGACCACAAGCUUAACAUGAGUCAACAGUGUGAUGCAGCAGCAAAAAAAGCUAAAGCUAUUCUAGGCUGCAUCAACAGAAUCAAGGGAAGUAAUAGUACCACUCCAUUCUGCCUUGGUCAGACCACACCUGGAAUACUGUGUCUGGGCACCACAAUUUAUGAAGGAUUUUGACAAGCUGGAACAUGUGCAGAUGAGGACGACCAAGAUGAUGAAGGGUCAAACCAAGCCUUAUGAGGAGCAGUUGAGGAAGCUGGGUAUGUUUAGUCUGGAAAAGAGGAGAUAUGAUAGCCAUCUUCAAAUAUCUCAAGGACUAUCACAUGAAAGAGGGAACAAGCUUGUUUUCCCCUGCUCUGGAGGGUAGGACUCAAACCAAUGGCUUCAAGUUACAAGAAAGGAGAGUCCGACUAAUAAUAAUAAUAAUAAUAAUAUUUUUUUAUUUAUACCCCGCCCUUCCCGGUUCAAAAACCGAGCUCAGGGCGGCUAACAACAAAUUUAAAACACUUAAUUGUAAAAGCAGCAUAAAAUACAGUAUAAUAACAUGAAUAACAAUAAAAUUCAAAAUUCAGAAAUCAAUUUAGGGGAAAUAAGCAUUAGAUAAUCACCAGGGCUAGCUGGCUGAAUUGGUCCUACUUGGGCCAGCGAGGAGGCCAGGGGAGAAUUAGCUGUGGGGUCUCAGAGCGGGUAAUCUUCAUACAAGGGGAAGGGGGCGGAAGAGAAGGGAAGGGAAAUAAAAGAUCAGGCUGAAUUCACAUUAAAGUCCAGGUUGAAUAGCUCUGUCUUACAGGCCCUGUGGAAGGAGGUUAAAUUCUGAAGGGCCCUAGUCUCCUGGGACAGAGCAUUCCACCAGGUCGGAGCCAUCACUGAAAAGGCCCUGGCCCCGGGGGAGGAUAGUCUGGCUUCCUUAGGGCCCGGGACCUCUAAACUAUGGUUAUUCAUGGACCUUAAGGUCCUCUGCAGGGCAUACCAGGGGAGGCGGUCCGGUAAAUACGAGGGCACUAAACAUCUGGAAGAACUUUCUGGCAGGAAGAGCUGUUUGACAGUGUAAUGGACUCCCUUGGGACUCUCCUUCCUUGGAGGUUUUUAAGCAGAUGCUGGAUGGCCAUCUGUCAGGGAUGCUUUAGCUGAGAUGUCUGUAUUUCAGGGUGUUGGGCUAGAUGACCGGGGGGGGGGGGGUACCUUCCAACUAUACAAUCCUAUGGUACAUUAUCUCUGUCCACAAGUUCAAAAACAGAAAGCGAGAGAAGUGCUCCAGAGACUCCUGCAGGCAAAACCUGCUUUCGGUCUCUGCAGCCUGUUCUUCUGCAAAUGUUCCCUCCCUGCUUUGCUUUUUGGUAUCCUGCAUGCAUUCCUCUGACAUGCACAGUGCUUCCUAUCCUCACAGUGCCCAUAAAAUCCAGGGCCCAUAAAAGCCAGGGUCUAAUAAUAAAUGAGCACAUUAUGGUGUGAGCCGAGUGCUGGGAACGCAAUGAAAAGCGACUCUUCUAACAACCGCCUGCCACCUAACUUGCCUGCAUGUUCCACGCCUACUGAUCCCAGGUACCUGCCUGAAGUUAUUCUUAACAAAUCAAGCUUGUCUCCUGGAGUUAUAUUAGGGAUGCAACAUAGGUUGCCUAAUGUACAAGUGAAAUGUUACUCUGUCCCUAUUGUUUGCUGGUGCUGUAAAUGCCAUACCUUCUCUCUUUGCUUUUAUUAUUUCCCAACCUUUCUUCUGUCCCCUAAUCAUAAACCUCUCCCGGCUUUUAGAAAAUGCCAUUCUGCCUUUCAAGCCGGUACAAUAGGUCACCUCAGGUAGAGCUGAACCAGCAAAGGGAUCAUUAUAGGAAAAGUUAUAAUGUGACUCAACACCACCCAAGGAUUCUUAUACAUUUUUAUUUUUAUUUUUAAAAAAGGCAACUUGAUGAGCUCAACCUGGGAGAGCGUUUAACCCUCUUCAAAUCAUUUCUGAACAAUAUCGUGCAGGUGGUAUUGUGGAAGCACAUAAGGAAAGGAAUCCCCAUGGGGAGACUUUGAAAUUUGUCAACAAGCAAACCUGUAUCAGUAUUUCAGUUUACACCUUUUGCAUCCCUUCCUGUGUUCCCUUGUCAACCAAGGUAAGCAGGGAGGUUCAAAACAGGCUCAAGCAGUGACCUGUCAGGGUGCUAGUAUCCUGGCAAUGGUCAUGCCUGCAAGAUAUCCACAAUUUUCAGAGCCCCAACCCAGGGGAAACCCCACUCUGUUCUUAAGGAAGAAGCUACCUACACCCAUCCCUAAAUUAUGCAUAUUUAUGAUAGCUAAAGUUGGAACCCCCCCCAAAGAAGCCAAAGUUGUGCAUAAACAUUCUUUUUACCCUAGGAUGAUGCCAGAAAUUAUCACUGCAGAUCAUGUAAGUAUUUCUUCUCGCUAAGGCAAGUGCAACCCACCAUCAUUCUUGUAUCCACAGAAAGAGAAGGUGGCUUUGCGUGUGUGGGUCCCCAAGCCACCCCUCAAAAUAAUUCACACAUCACAUGUAAUUUUAGUUUUAGGUUUUUGGGCACUAAUUUGGCCACAACUUUAUUAAAAUACAAAAUCUGUGAGUGGUUGUUUAAACAUUGGUUAUGACUAUCUGUCCCCCCGCCUGGGACAGAACUGACAUUCCGAACUCCAAUUGGAAGCCAGUUGAAGGGAAAGUCAAUGUUGGGGAUCAGUUGAGCUGAGCGUCAGUCCCUCACCACUCACCCAACCAGCUCCCCAAGGCUUGCCGGCCCUGGUCCCAUUUCAGGGAUUGGACGAAAUCGUGGCAAGCCCCAGGAUUCCUUUAACGGAAUUCCCUUCAGCACCAUUGGAGGGGAAGGCACAGCCUAUCCUGACCCCUCCACCACCAGCUUUUUAUAACCAAUGCCUAACCACAACCUUACAAGUUGUGACGAAUUGCUAAGUAGUAGGCAAAAACCAAGUGGCACCAGCCAAUCAGCCAAAUGGCAAAAUUCCUACUAGGCCCCUGCCCCAAGGCAGGCGACCCCAUGACAGGCAAAACAAGGGCGGGCGGGCGGGCGGGCAGGUGAUCCGAUGCACUCUGCUAAAGAGAAAGCAAAAGCCAGAGUGCCCCAGUAUUUAAAGACUAUGAUCCCACCCACCAAUUUGCUACAUGCAAUUUGCCCCAGCAACCCGGUCAGCCAAUCGAUGCACCAGGCAAUAGCCAUUAACCUGCCUGGCAACCCAGGGCUGGCCUGGUGGCCCACACCGCAACCCGUGCUCUCACUUAAUGGAGAACGCGCUUUAUCAGCAGCUCAAGGUAGAGGUGGAGAAGACCUCUAUCUUGAUCCCAACUAUCCCUUGCCUUUUAAUUCCUUCCAUAACCAAGUGUUUGUUCCCCCUUUUCUUUCUUAUUCCAAUUUCCUUCUUUUUCAGCUUCCCUUCUCUUGUAGAUUCUAAAAUGCACCUCAUUUCCCUGAAACAAUAUCUGGGCCAGCAGGCAAUUCUGAUACAGGGGCUAUAUUUAUCCAUUGUAACAUUCUAGUGGCUUUUAUUUUUCUGUCUCUCCUGGGUACUACACACACCCAGCGAGAUAAUGAUAAGACUAAGUCAAUCCCAUGCUUCAGGGUGUAAGACGAUUGCCAGCUGGAAUCAUAGAACAGAAAACAAAUCCCAAUUUUCUUGUAAAAGCAUUAGAGAUUUGUUCAGGUAUAUUAGUGUGGAUCAUGAAUUUAUCAGCCGCACAGGCAUAAGCACAAAGCAGGUUAAUCAAUAUGUUCCAUAGCAACCUUCUGGGUAAAAAUUCAAGGUGACUGCUGUGACCUACAGAACUCUUAAUAACCUGACAUCCGUAGAAGUCUGUUCAAAGGAAUCAGCUUUAGCCACUGCAAAUAAUAAAGCAGGUGAAUGACAUCCUAUGUUACCCAUUGCAGAUACUUCCCCCAAAAUUGUUGUAAGUUGCUUAGAAUAGCUGUGCUACGGAAUUGCACUCUGAUUUGUUUGUUUCUUAAAGGGGAUAGAGAUAAGGAGGAAGAUCUAUAUAGGUUAAAAUUAAAACACAAAAGGGGGGAAAUUGGCUCUGGCUGGAGAGAGAACUUUAAGAAAGUACUGUUUAGAAAGGCCUAUUUGGAGCUGUUUGUUUCAGGAUCAGGACGCAACUAAAAGCAUAGACUGAUGGCGCUGUGGGUUAAACCACAGAACCUAGGACUUGCCAAUCAGAAGGUCGGAUGUUUGAAUCCCUGCGACGGGGUGAGCUCCCGUUGCUCGGUCCCUGCUCCUGCCAACCUAGCAGUUCGAAAGCACAUCAAAGUGCAAGUAGAUAAAUAGGUACUGCUCCGGCGGGAAGUUAACAGCAUUUCCGUGCGCUACUCUGGCUUUCCAGAAGUGGCUUAGUGAUGCUGGCCACAUGACCCAGAAGCUGUAUGCCGGCUCCCUUGGCCAAUAAAGCAAGAUGAGCUUCAACCCCAGAGUCGGUCACGACUGGACCUAAUGGUCAGGGGUCCCUUUACCUUUUAAGAGCACUAUGUGCAUGUAAAUAUCAGAUCUGGCUAUCAAAGGACAAGGCUGAAACCAUUUAACUGAAACAGGACAAAGAGUCGAGGGAACAACAGUCCCACAUGCUCCCAAAGUGAAGACAUACCUUAGAAAAACAGCUUCACAUUUAUAUUUUUAACCUUCUGUUGGAAGCCACCCAGAGUGGCUAGGGAAACCCAGCCAGAUGGGUGGGGUAGAAAAAAAUUAUUAUUUUUAUUAUUAUUAUUACUACGGGUAAUCCUGAAUUCAACCUGAAUUCACACCCUUUAAACCUGGUAGUCAAUGAAACAACUGGUUUCUUCAGUUUGAUUCCACAGAUCUAUAAUUAUUUCUCUGAAUUGACUCAGUGGUGGCAAAUUCUAACUAGCCAUGUAUCAGACUUAGGCAUAACUGUUACGCUGUUGAGCAAAACAACACAGAACUACUUUGGAACUACUGAGAUACCAUCUUGGUAGUAUCUAUUAUAUGAUGCUUAAAUAAAGAUACUUGAUGACACAAGCCUAAAAGGUUUGUCUGGAAAUACUUCUCUAUUUGAAGCUAAGACCCCAAGAUUUAAUUUGUAAAUUCAAGUUUCUGGUGAUUCGUGUUGUAUGGUACAACAUCCAUUUUGAAAUCAAUCAGCCCAUUUUGGGGGGUGGGUGCAAGUAGUCAGUCGAGAGCCAGUGUGGUGUAGUGGUUAAGAGCGGUAGUCUCCUAAUCUGGGGAACCGGGUUCGCGUCUCCGCUCCUCCACAUGCAGCUGCUGGGUGACCUUGGGCCAGUCACACUUCUUUGAAGUCUCUCAGCCCCACUCACCUCACAGAGUGUUUGUUGUGGGGAAGGAAGGGAAAGGAGAAUGUUAGCCGCUUUGAGACUCCUGAAGGGGAGUGAAAGGCGGGAUAUCAAAUCCAAACUCUUCUUCUCUUCUUCUUCUUGCCCAGGGCACAAAAUAGCCUGACAGUUGCAUUGCCAAUAAGUUUUCUAUCCCAAUUUAAUGCAUUGUUGUUUAGCACUUUAACUCCAAAUCUUUUAAACUGCCCUCACAUGUAUACAUUUCUAUUUUUAUCUGACUACAUCCUGGUAGUUCAUGUUAAGUCAAAGUUUUUCUAGUGUUAAAUAUGUAACUUUACACAGAAAAACAAGAUGUAAAAAAAAAAAAAAAUCAAGAAGCAGAAUGCCCAGUUUUAGAAAUGCUAAUGACAUACAGUUGUACCUCGGGUUACAUACGCUUCAGGUUACAGACUUCGCUAACCCAGAAAUAUUACCUCGGGUUAAGAACUUUGCUUCAGGAUGAGAACAGAAAUCGUGAUCCGGCGGUGCGGCGGCAGCAGGAAGCCCCAUUAGCUAAAGUGGUGCUUCAGGUUAAGGACAGUUUGAGGUUAAGAACGGACCUCCGGAACGAAUUAAGUACUUAACCCAAGGUACCACUGUAUUUAAAUUUCAGGUUCAUAAUAUAAGCGUAAACAUGAUAGAGCCCUGCAUUCUUCAUGAACCUGGAUUUUGUUCAGAUCCAAUGAAGAACUCCUUCUUCCUCCUCCACCCCCCCCCCCGCAAUUAUCUUCCAGCUCUGAGGGAGGAGUGAGGUCCUGGUCUGCAGCUUUUGGUGUCCCUCUUAUCCAUGGCACAUGCAACACAGAGUAGGAAAGUAACAUACUCAAGGACAGGUUGGAGAAAUUCUAUUUUCCAUGGUUCUUGCACAUUUUGCUCUAGACUGAUUCAUGUGUCAGGAGGCGAGGAGGACAGAUCAAGUGGUGUGGAACUUUUUGCAGCCUGGGGGAUGAAUUCAGCAACCUUCUAGGGGCUGUGGGGUUGCAGAGGUAAAAGUGAGCAAAGCAAUGAAUUCCAAAAAUACAGUAGGCAUGUUUCCAUAUAUACAUACAUGCUCACACACCUCUCUCCAUCUUCCAUCCAAUAGGCAUUAUCAGAGGUCUGGUCCAGCCAGGCAAGAAGGGUGUGUGGCCUGGGGAAAUUGGAGGUGUGUGGCCUGAUGAGAGUCUUCAGGGCCAGAGAGAGAGGUCUGGAGCGUGACAUUUGAUCCCUGGAACUGAGGUUCUCCAUUCCUACUCCAUUGGGUCAAAAUUCUCUUGGUGAACAAAAUGACUCCUUCUGUUAAGUUGUGGGUGAACAUAUCAGACGACACAGCGAUUCUUCAAACAGCUCUUGUUUAUUCACAGGCCAGGACAGAACUGAACAGAAGGGUUCAGUCAGCCUGCUUAUAUAGAGCUCCAGUACAAUGUAACUGUAACAAUUUUCUAAAACUAUCCAAUCACUGAACGUCACUUUCGAUCCCUUAUUUGUAUAACUAUCUACAGUAUCCCCCUGCUGGCCCAGGGUGAGAACUUCAGUACAUAACACCUUCUGUUUGUGGAAGGGCAAGUCUUGAUCUAGUGCCUACCCAUGUGAGCGAGACCUGUUUCUCUUCUGCAGGAGCAAUCACCAUAAUGAUUUAAUGAGGAGAGUGAGAGAGCCCAGCUGGAGCAGCCACACCUGUCAGGUAAGGGAUUUGCCGACUCACAGAAGCAGCAAUUUUGAGCAAAAUUAGAACUCUCAGAAAAGAAAGGUAUUUUGCCCCAGCUGCUCCUAAUUGCACACUUCAGAGUGAACCUGAAGAAGUUCACUCAUCUCUACCAAGUAUAAAGUCUCCCUCCAACUGUUUAACCCCUUUGCCCCAAGUGCAUCAUCUCCCAUUCUCAGACCUUCCCUAUGUAAGUGGAUAAAUGGCUGCCCAAAUGGAACACCAUCCUUUACUAUUAAAAAUGAGGAGGGGAGCUCAAAAUAGACGUUAACUCUCCAUACCGCCAGCCAAUCAUGUAUUUAAUUGGGUAUAUUUUCCUUACAUGUUCAGUAGAAGCAGUAAAUGGGCAUUGAAUCUCCACACUGCCAGCCAAUCAUGUAUUUAAUGUGAUGCAUUUUGCUUCAAUUUGAAAUGGAAGAGAAUAUAGUUUUCUUGUGCUCACAAUUAAGAGCUUGGUCCAUUUUUUAAAUUGUUAGCCAUUUGGCCACUUUUUAUCUUCCAUCACAAUUCAUGAGAGAAUCAGGCAUGUAAUUUCUGAGCUUGUACCCAUUUGAAUUUUUGAGACUGAGAAGCACCUAACAUUGAUUGGAACGUCUCCUAUAGUUCUAUCCAAAUAAGUCUUUAACUUAGAGAUAGGCAUGUAUAAAUAACUUCUAAUCUUUCAGUCCUCAUGCCGUCGUUCCAAUCUGUUUCAACAGCCGGUGCAAAGGUGUCAAGUGUGUGUCAGUUUUCAUACGACCAUCUUACUACUUAGCCUUAGUCAACAACAGAUAAAGUUGGGAGAAUGAGAGACUUUCCCCAGUUGACAGUUUUCUUGGCUAAGAAGAGGCAGGAUGGCAGGCACAGAUGGAAAAGUUCAGCUCAGAAAUGUUAUCAAAAGGACAGCAGGAGUCAUUUGAUUUGCCGUGUCCAGAGGAUAUAAAUGUCUUCAAACCGUACUAUAGAGGGCAUGAGAGAUUGGUUUCCUUUAUUUUAAUGCUGUGACUCUAGAAUAUGUUGUCAAAAACAAAAAUCAAGUGAAGAAUGGUAGUGCAGUGAAAAAAGCAAUUUGAGAGGCAGCAAUCCCCUCCAUAACAGUCAGUGAGGACAGCAGCUGUGUCACAGAGAAUCAAAUUGUUUGCGUUUAUACUUCUUUUGCUAAAAUACACGUCUUAAGCAUGAGUGUGCAAUAAUCCCUGGGUGUGAGAGAUCAUUAUUCAGUACACUGUGGAAUCCCCAUCAAUGGAACCUGGAUGGGGGCGACAUCAACUUCUGCCAUUACUGAAUCAGUAUGCCACAUAAAGGUGGUACCAACGGAACACUUAUAUGGAAAAAGCUACCCAGGAACACCACUAAGGCACAGAUGAAUGAACGUUCAUAUUACAAUAUUUCUAUACCACCUAUCGAUUGAAAACAACAUGUAUAAAGGAACUACCAGAUUUCCAAAAAAAAAUGACAGUAAAUAACCGGCCAAACUACAGCGAGGAGAAGAAGCAGAAACUGAGCAAGAUUUGUCAAGGGGAAGCAAAUACUAAUAUAAAUGCCCCCCUCUUUUGAAUAAAAUACCGCAAAGCCAGCAGAUCUAAUCAUCUUGGCAAUGGGAUUUCACAAAUGGGAUCCUGCUCUUGAAGAAGCUCUGACCUGGGUAUACAGGGACUAAAAUAUUGGGGGAAUAUGUAAGGUGCCACCCCAAAGAUCUUAAUCUCCAAGUCUCCACCCCAUCAUCCAGCCCGGACACUGAGGUCCAGGGCCGUGGGCCUUCUGGCAGUUCCCUCGCUGCAAGAAGUGAGGUUAGAGGGAACCAGGCAGAGGGCCUUCUCGGUAGUGGCACCUGCC